rnacentral:rRNA from 1 species
UACGUAGGGGGCAAGCGUUGUCCGGAUUUAUUGGGCGUAAAGAGCGUGUAGGCGGCCAUGUAGGUCCGUUGUGAAAACUCGAGGCUCAACCUCGAGACGCCGGUGGAAACCGUAAGGCUAGAGUCCGGAAGAGGAGAGUGGAAUUCCUGGUGUAGCGGUGAAAUGCGCAGAUAUCAGGAGGAACACCCGUGGCGAAAGCGGCUCUCUGGGACGGUACUGACGCUGAGACGCGAAAGCGUGGGGAGCAAACAGG